GCGUCUUUCAGACCCAUCAUCAAGGUACUUGAGCAUAAGCUUCCUUCAAUGAUACAGGAGUGUCAUUGGCUUCAACAGCAUUACUGAAGUGUUGCAAGGUACAGGAAUGCUGAAGCACCUCACCAAACUGGAGUGGGAAAUACUGAUAAGAGAGCUGUUCCCACUCCAAGGGCUGCUUCCUUGCCUCCUUACACCUGUGUGAGCACACCAGCUGCAAGACAUGAUCUAGUAAUGACCCAGUGUCUGCCUGACCCUGCUGCUGCAGCUGGCUUUUACUGAAGCUGCCUUUCCAGGGCACUGUUCUUUGUGCAAAAGUGGAGCAAAAGAAGAAAUCUGGAGGUCCCUGACAGUACCAGCACAGAAUUUCCUGCCAAGAUUCUACCGGAGCCAGGAUUUUGCAGCUUGUGUUUUCCCUGUGGAACCAGGGAGGAGUUCCCAGGCAUGGUCUGACUCCGUGCUGGAGCAGCAUCACGGCUGGGAAGUCAGAUUCCCCUGAAAUUGGGAUGCACAAUUGUUCCAGAAAAGGCCUGGUCUAAAGUUAAGGGAGGUUCUCAGCAUGGGGAGGAGAGAGAAGGGCUGGGGACAGGAUACCUGGAGCACUGUGCAGCUGGGAAAGACAAGGAAAGGGCAAUCCUGCACAUCCUGGCUCACACACACUCCCAGGUUUAGAACAUCAGAUGACUCUUAGCAGAUAUGAAAUGCUUCUGGAAGCCAAACAGUGGUUCUGUUCAUACCCUUUGGACCACCCUGCUGUAAGUUACCAAUCCUCGUUAAAACAGAGUAUAUAUUAUUUCUUUGUAGUCUG
rnacentral:lncRNA from 1 species